rnacentral:rRNA from 1 species
AGGAUGAACGCUGGCGGUAUGCUUAACACAUGCAAGUCGAACGGUCCUUUCGGGGAUAGUGGCGGACGGGUGAGUAACGCGUGAGAAUCUGCCUUUAGGACGGGGACAACAGUUGGAAACGGCUGCUAAAACCCGAUGUGCCCUUCGGGGUGAAAUAUUUAUAGCCUGAAGAUGAGCUCGCGUCUGAUUAGCUAGUAGGUGAGGUAACGGCUCACCUAGGCGACGAUCAGUAACUGGUCUGAGAGGAUGACCAGUCACACUGGGACUGAGACACGGCCCAGACUCCUACGGGAGGCAGCAGUGGGAAUUUCGCAAUGGGCGCAAGCCUGACGGAGCAAUACCGCGUGAGGGAGGAAGGCUCUUGGGUCGUAAACCUCUUUUAUCAGGGAAGAACACAAUGACGGUACCUGAUGAAUCAGCAUCGGCUAACUCCGUGCCAGCAGCCGC